rnacentral:rRNA from 1 species
CUGGGGGAUCUUGCAAAUGGGCGCAAGCCUGAGCAGCAACGCCGCGUGCGGGAAGAAGGCCUUAGGGUUGUAAACCGCUUUCAGCAGGGAAGAAACUGACGGUACCUGUAGAAGAAGGUGCGGCCAACUACGUGCCAGCAGCCGCGGUGACACGUAGGCACCAAGCGUUGUCCGGAUUUAUUGGGCGUAAAGAGCUUGUAGGCGGUUCGGUAAGUCGGGUGUGAAACCUCUGGGCUCAACUCAGAGACGCCACCCGAUACUGCUGUGACUAGAGUGCAGUAGGGGAGCGGGGAAUUCCUGGUGUAGCGGUGAAAUGCGCAGAUAUCAGGAGGAACACCAGUGGCGAAGGCGCCGCUCUGGGCUGUAACUGACGCUGAGAAGCGAAAGCGUGGGUAGCAAACAGGAUUAGAUACCCUGGUAGUCCACGCCGUAAACGUUGGGCACUAGGUGUGGGUCUCAACCAACGAGAUCCGCGCCGUCGCUAACGCAUUAAGUGCCCCGCCUGGGGAGUACGGCCGCAAGGCUAA